rnacentral:rRNA from 1 species
GAUGAACGCUGGCGGCGUGCCUAAUACAUGCAAGUCGAGCGAACAGACGAGGAGCUUGCUCCUCUGACGUUAGCGGCGGACGGGCGAGUAACACGUGGAUAACCUACCUCUAAUACUGGGAUAACUUCGGGGAACCGGUUCUAAUACCGGCUCAUAUAUUCAACCGCAUAGUUCAAUAGUUCUAGACGGCUUUGCCGUUACUUAUAGAUGGACUCGGGCCGCAUUAGCUAGUUGGUAAGGUAACGGCCUACCAAGGGACCGAUGCGUAGCCGACCGGAGAGGGGGAUCGGCAACAUGGGACGUGAGAAACGGUCCAGACUCCUAGGGGGGGCAGAAGUGGGAAAUCUUCCGCAAUGGGCGAAAGCUUGGCGGAGCAACGCGGCGGGAGUGAUGAAGGCCUUCGGAUCGUAAAACUCUGUUAUUGGGGAAGAACAAAUGUGUAAGUAACCAUGCUCGUCUGGACGGUACCAAAGCAGAAAGCCACGCCUAACUACUU